rnacentral:rRNA from 1 species
UAGAGUUUGAUCGUGGCUCAGAGUGAACGCCCGCGGCGUGGUUUAGGCAUGCAAGUCGAACGCUGCUCAGGUUGAAGCCGCAAGGCUGAUACCAAAAGCGGAGUGGCAAACGGGUGAGUAACACGUGGGUAAUUUACCCUCGAGAUGGGGAUAACUUCGCGAAAGCGUAGCUAAUACCGAAUAAGACCACGAUGACAUAUGUCGUUGAGGCAAAAGGUACCUUGAGCAAUCAGGGCGCCACUUGAGGAUGAGCCCGCGUCUUAUCAGCUUGUUGGUAGGGUAACGGCCUACCAAGGCUAUGACGAGUAGCUGGUCUGAGAGGAUGGUCAGCUACACUGGUACUGAGACACUGGCCAGACUCCUACGGGAGGCUGCAGUCGAGAAUCUUUAGCAAUGGACGCAAGUCUGACUAUGCGACGCCGCGUGAGUGAUGAAGGCCCUCGGGUCGUAAAACUCUGUCGGACCGGAGGAUGCCUCGUAUGUCUAAUAUAUGUACGGGGUGACAGUACGGUCAAAGGAAGCCACGGCUAACUCCGUGCCAGCAGCCGCGGUAAUACGGAGGUGGCAAGCGUUACUCGGAUUUAUUGGGUGUAAAGGGUGUUUAGGUGUCCCGCCAAGUUUCAGGUGAAAUCCUUUGGCUUAACCAAAGAAGUGCCUGAAAAACUGGCGGGAUUGAGCGUGGUAGAGGAGAGUGGAAUUCCUGGUGUAAGAGUGAAAUCUGUAGAUAUCAGGAGGAACACCGAUGGCGAAAGCAGCUCUCUGGGCCAAUGCUGACACUGAAGCACGAAAGCUAGGGGAGCGAACAGGAUUAGAUACCCUGGUAGUCCUAGCCGUAAACGAUGGGCACUAGGUGUCGGUCCUCACGGAUCGGUGCCGCAGCUAACGCAUUAAGUGCCCCACCUGGGGACUACGGCGGCAACGCUGAAACUCAAAGGAAUUGACGGGGGCCCGCACAAGCGGUGGAGCAUGUGGUUCAAUUCGAUGCUACACGAGAAACCUUACCAGGGCUUGACAUGCUAGUGGUAGUGAACCGAAAGGGGAACGACUCCGCAAGGAGAGCUAGCACAGGUGCUGCAUGGCUGUCGUCAGCUCGUGUCGUGAGAUGUUGGGUUAAGUCCCGCAACGAGCGCAACCAUUGUCCUUAGUUGCAAUCCCGAAUUUUCGGGAGCACUCUAAGGAGACUGCCGCUGAUAAAGCGGAGGAAGGUGGUGAUGACGUCAAGUCAGGAUGGCCUUUAUGCCCUGGGCUACACACGUGCUACAAUGCCGGGUACAGAGGGUUUGCAAGACCGAGAGGUGGAGCCAAUCCCAGAAAACCCGGCCCAGUUCGGAUUGAAGUCUGCAAUUCGACUUCAUGAAGUUGGAAUCGCUAGUAAGCGCGGAUCAGAAUGCUGCGCUGAAUACGUUCCCGGGCCUUGUACACACCGCCCGUCAAGUCACUUGAGUCUGGUGCACCCUAAGUCGCUGUCCUAACCCGCAAGGGAGGGAGGCGCCCACGGUGUGCCUGGCAAGAGGGACUAAGUCGUAACAAGGUAAC